rnacentral:rRNA from 1 species
UACGUAGGGGGCUAGCGUUGUCCGGAUUUAUUGGGCGUAAAGAGCGUGUAGGCGGCCAGAUAGGUCUGCUGUGAAAACUCGAGGCUCAACCUCGAGAUGUCGGCGGAAACCAUUUGGCUAGAGUCCGGAAGAGGAAAGUGGAAUUCCUGGUGUAGCGGUGAAAUGCGCAGAUAUCAGGAAGAACACCCGUGGCGAAGGCGGCUUUCUGGGACGGUACUGACGCUGAGAAGCGAAAGCAUGGGGAGCGAACAGG